CAGCAGCCGCGGUAAAACAGAGGGUGCGAGCGUUAAUCGGAUUUACUGGGCGUAAAGCGUGCGUAGGCGGCUUCUUAAGUCGGAUGUGAAAUCCCUGAGCUUAACUUAGGAAUUUCAUUCGAUACUGGGAAGCUAGAGUAUGGGAGAGGAUGGUAGAAUUCCAGGUGUAGCGGUGAAAUGCGUAGAGAUCUGGAGGAAUACCGAUGGCGAAGGCAGCCAUCUGGCCUAAUACUGACGCUGAGGUACGAAAGCAUGGGGAGCAAACAGGAUUAGAUACCCGUGUAGUCCCUGUCUCUUAUAC
rnacentral:rRNA from 1 species